rnacentral:rRNA from 1 species
GACGAACGCUGGCGGCGUGCCUAAUACAUGCAAGUCGAGCGGACGUUUUUGAAGCUUGCUUCAAAAACGUUAGCGGCGGACGGGUGAGUAACACGUGGGCAACCUACCUUAUCGACUGGGAUAACUCCGGGAAACCGGGGCUAAUACCGGAUAACAUCUAGCACCUCCUGGUGCCAGAUUAAAAGAGGGCUUCUUGCUCUCACGAUGAGAUGGGCCCGCGGCGCAUUAGCUAGUUGGAGAGGUAACGGCUCCCCAAGGCGACGAUGCGUAGCCGACCUGAGAGGGUGAUCGGCCACACUGGGACUGAGACACGGCCCAGACUCCUACGGGAGGCAGCAGUAGGGAAUCUUCCGCAAUGGACGUAAGUCUGACGGAGCAACGCCGCGUGAGUGGUGAAGGGUUUCGGCUCGUAAAGCUCUGGUAUGAGGGAAGAACACGUACCGCUCGAAUAGGGCGGUACCUUGACGGUACCUCAUCAGAAAGCCACGGCUAACUACGUGCCAGCCGCCGCCGUAAAAC